GCCAGCAGCCGCGGUAAGACGGAGGGCGCAAGCGUUGUUCGGAAUUACUGGGCGUAAAGCGCGGGCAGGUGGUCUGUUAAGUCGUUUGUGAAAACCCGGGGCUCAACCCCGCGGAAUGCAGACGAUACUGGCAGACUGGAGAUCGGUAGAGGCUAGCGGAAUUCCAGGUGUAGCGGUGGAAUGCGUAGAUAUCUGGAAGAACACCUGUGGCGAAGGCGGCUAGCUGGGCCGAGUCUGACACUCAUCCGCGAAAGCGUGGGGAGCAAACAGGAUUAGAUA
rnacentral:rRNA from 1 species